rnacentral:snoRNA from 1 species
UCCAGUGGUAGUCAGCUGUCCAGAGCAGUACUGUGCCUGUGAUAGUGUUACACUGCUGGGAGAUAAAGAUUAGUCAUUUCUUCUGGCUGCUGCUGUCACCGUUCUGGAGACGGAUGGUGCCAGGAGAAGUGCCAUUGUGCUUCCCUGAGAGUGCACUGAAGAUUUGCUUUUCCUCUUCAGUGCUAGUCUGGAAGCAUACAUG